rnacentral:rRNA from 1 species
AUUGAACGCUGGCGGCAGGCCUAACACAUGCAAGUCGAACGGUAACAGGAAACAGCUUGCUGUUUCGCUGACGAGUGGCGGACGGGUGAGUAAUGUCUGGGAAACUGCCUGAUGGAGGGGGAUAACUACUGGAAACGGUAGCUAAUACCGCAUAACGUCGCAAGACCAAAGAGGGGGACCUUCGGGCCUCUUGCCAUCAGAUGUGCCCAGAUGGGAUUAGCUAGUAGGUGGGGUAACGGCUCACCUAGGCGACGAUCCCUAGCCGGUCUGAGAGGAUGACCAGCCACACUGGAACUGAGACACGGUCCAGACUCCUACGGGAGGCAGCAGUGGGGAAUAUUGCACAAUGGGCGCAAGCCUGAUGCAGCCAUGCCGCGUGUAUGAAGAAGGCCUUCGGGUUGUAAAGUACUUUCAGCGGGGAGGAAGGGAGUAAAGUUAAUACCUUUGCUCAUUGACGUUACCCGCAGAAGAAGCACCGGCUAACUCCGUG